rnacentral:tRNA from 1 species
AAGGUCUUAAGUUAAUUAAACUAUGAGACUUCAAAUCUCAUCAUGGAGUCUCUCCAGACCUUG